UUGGAAAUCUCUUAUAAGGCAGAAAUCCUAUGAGUCUUAAAUGUGUUUUAAGAAUUUUAUCUUCAUUUAAAUGUAUCUUUAAAAAUAAAUGAACUGUUUAUACUACUUUGUUAGUUGGAAGUAUCUCCGUCUUGGUGGGGGGAGGGACCCACUGCUCAAAUAGUGGAUAUUGGCAGCUAAAUUUGCCAUGGAAGAUAAACAGGGACGUGAUCUAGCCUUUGAAGAGCAGCUGGCUACAGUAUAAACUCCCUUUAGUGAGGGUACUUAUAGCUAUCUAUAUCAGAUAGAGCUUAAGAUCCUUGUUUGAAUUCAGGACUUCAUGGAUACCAAUACCAUCACAUUGUCAGAGAUACUGUCUAUCAGAUGAAACCUCUGCUACAGUCCCAUUUUUCAUUUCAGGUUUAUGUAUUGUGCUGUUUUCCCUCCAUUAACAUUGUUCAAACAGAUUUAUUGAGAUACAACACGGAACAGGCCCUUCCUGCUUUUUGAGCUGUGCUGUCCAGCAAACCCCCGAUUUAAUCCCAGCCUAAUCACCAGAUGGUUUACAAUGGCCCAUUAACCUGCCAACCCAGAUGCUUUUGGACUGUGGGAGGAAACUGGAGCACCUGGAGGAAACCCAUGCAGUCGUGGGGAGAAUGUACAAAUGCCUUACAGGAAACAGCAGGAUUUGAACCCAGUCCAGUAUUGGAGAGUGAAGGCAUUACCGGAGUUAUACGAGUUCAAAGGAUUGGAUAAAGUUAAUGUUGUUCAGCGUCUUGGGAAUGAUAGACCUUUGUGACUUCGUUCAGCUAUUGUGGCAUGCACAUUUGAGAUAAACCCCUGCAAAGUUGGGAAGGUUUGUGCAGUGACCACCAUACAGUCAAAAGGUGCAUGGGGUUCUGUCAGAGUUCGUGAUCACCAGCUGCACUCAAACUGUCUUUCUUUAUGGUGAUGGUUCCUGCUUCGCUGAGCUCGCUGACGGGUUGUUUCGAUAUCCCCAGGAUGCAGCCUAGAAGACGUGUGCUUUCAUGGUGCAGCUCUGCAGCCUUGCGGAUGAACCGAUUCCAUGUCGGUGUUGCCGAUUGAGGCAUCGCAGGAGACAAAGCGGCUUCUUUUGAAGACCGUGACCUUGAAUUACAUGCAGGCUUCAGUUCUUUGUGGGAAUGGGACCAGUUCUCAGGCUUCCACGACUAGCUGUUAUUCGACAAGCCAAGGGUUUGGCCUGAGAGUCUCGAUUGUGUUCAGAAGCCUAAGAUCUCGGGGCUCUGGAAACGGGUGGAUUGAGGGUUGGUGUCAUGGCAGGAGACUCGUGUGUCGUCAGGGAGGCUGGAAAAUCUCUCGCUGUGGGCCCAAAGACCCGAGGUCUUUGUGAUCUUCAGGCACAGAGCUUGAAAAAAGCGAUGAAGCUGACUUUUAACUCAUAAACCAGCGGGUUGUUGUUAUGUCUCCCACUCGAUGUGAAAAUCGGGGACACCUCCUUCUCCCUUACCAGGGAGAGAGAGAAGCAGUGGUUUGUUGAAUGUCGGAUGAAAUGCAAAACCUUUGGAGUAAUUUUGGUCUGUGUCUUUGCUAUUGUUUAACUCACGCUUGUGCUCGGUAGCAGGUGCGCAUUUAUUUUUGCUGGUAGGGGAAGGGGGGGAUCGUUGCUUGCUGCCGCUUAUGCGCAGGAGAGGGGAGUUGGGGGGACUUUGGGGUUCUCACGUUUAACUGUCAUUCAUUCUUUGGGGCACUUCUUUGUGGAUGUUUGUGAAGAAAAAGCAUUUCAAGAUGUAUAUUGUAUGAAGUACAUUUCUCUGAAAUUAAA